ensembl:lncRNA
CAGAACAGUUCGAUCAUAGUCCUCCACUCUCCCCCACCAGACCUCUGCAUUCAGCGUCUGUUGAACUUCAGCUUGCAGCAACUGGUGGCCAUAAGAGUGGGGUGUGGCACAUCGUUGCUGUGUCCCAUCCGGGAAUGUUACAGUGAUACAUCCCUUCGUCAUUUGCAUAAUGAUAUUUUGGGAACACAAAAUGUCUCUUCCGCCUCUGACCCUGAGGUGGAUGGGGGCAUGCGUCGGACCAAUGUCCAAUCUGCCCACAGCUGAAACAAGUAUUCUGUCGUUGUCUAAACUGCCCUAAAUUGUUUGGAACUCGGCCACGAUUUCCCCCUACCCACUGUCUUUUCGGUUGCCUGAAGCCACCGUACAGUGGGGCCCCCAUCAUGUGUUGUGGUUGCGGGGCAUAAGGUUGGGGAUAGUAAGCCUGUGGAGGAGUGUACGCGGCCUGUUGUGGCUGCUGGCAGGCUGGCGCACAUGGGAAGGGAGGGGGGUCUGGAUCAGGGUCAUAUUGAGGUGGCCCUUCCCCCUGAGAUGGCGCUGUUGUUUGGGUCAUCUGUUUGGCUUCACUCUUGCCCUGGUUCAACUUCUCUCUGCUUUACUCUAGCUGUGCUUUCGCCAAUUGUAACUGAAUAUUGUUUAAUUCACCCUUUUCCUUAUCAUAUUUUUCUUUGCUCCGGUCCACAUAGUGUUUAAUCUGUGAGGACCAAGCAUCAAAAUUCAUGUCAGACAACCCCACUAUUCCUCUUAGUUGGGUCUUCAUUGUCUCCGAGACAGCUGACUCUAUGGCGCCGCGAAAAAGAAGCUUGGUUCUGUGAUCAUCCAUGACAUCUUCCCCUAACUUGUUGUCCCAUAAUUCUCCGACUCUCCUUAAAUAACUAUUUCCACCCUCACUGUCGUGUGGGGGAACAUAAGUGAGUUCUGUGGUAGCCACCUUCACAGGAUAUUGGAGUCUGAGCUUUGGCCAGAGCACUGACACCCAAUUUGCCAGAGGCUCCCCGUCAGGGAGGUCAGAGGUCCCGGCUUCCCCCUCUAACUUCUGGAGGUCAGCUAGUGAGGCACACGCCACAAAAAUUCUUCUAAGAUCCCCCAAACCGGGAACACUACCCGCACACUGAG